AGAGUUUGAUCAUGGCUCAGAACGAACGCUGGCGGCAGGCUUAACACAUGCAAGUCGAACGCCCCGCAAGGGGAGUGGCAGACGGGUGAGUAACACGUGGGAACAUGCCCAAAGGUACGGAACAACUCCGGGAAACUGGAGCUAAUACCGUAUGUGCCCGAGAGGGGAAAGAUUUAUCGCCUUUGGAUUGGCCCGCGUUGGAUUAGCUAGUUGGUGGGGUAAAAGCCUACCAAGGCGACGAUCCAUAGCUGGUCUGAGAGGACGACCAGCCACACUGGGACUGAGACACGGCCCAGACUCCUACGGGAGGCAGCAGUGGGGAAUCUUGGACAAUGGGCGCAAGCCUGAUCCAGCCAUGCCGCGUGGAUGAUGAAGGCCCUAGGGUUGUAAAAUCCUUUCGUUGGGGACGAUAAUGACGGUACCCAAAGAAGAGU
rnacentral:rRNA from 1 species